rnacentral:rRNA from 1 species
CCUACGGGAGGCAGCAGUAGGGAAUCUUCCACAAUGGGCGAAAGCCUGAUGGAGCAACGCCGCGUGGGUGAAGAAGGUCUUAGGAUCGUAAAACCCUGUUGUUAGAGAAGAAAGUGCGUGAGAGUAACUGAUCACGUUUCGACGGUAUCUAACCAGAAAGCACAGGCUCACUACGUGCCAGCAGCCGCGGUAAUACGUAGGUGGCAAGCGUUAUCCGGAUUUAUUGGGCGUAAAGGGCACGCAGGGGGUCUUUUAAGUCUGAUGUGAAAGCCUGUGGCUGAAACGGAGUAGUGCAUUGGAAGCUGGGAGACUUGAGUGCAGAAGAGGAGAGUGGAACUCCAGGGGUAGCGGUGAAAUGCGUAGAUAUAUGGAAGAACACCAGUGGCGAAAGCGGCUCUCUGGUCUUUAACUGACGCUGAGGUUCGAAAGCGUGGGUAGCAAACAGGAUUAGAUACCCGUGUAGUC